CCGAGAGGGGCGGAGAGAGGAGGUAACGGUCGUAAAAAAAAAUCAGCAAAAUGAAGAAAGUUCAUCAAAAAGGAGCUCCCGUGCCUCCCAGGCCAAAGGAGCCUUCAUUCUGCAGCCGGGGAUUCUGGGAGUUUGAGUUUCGCUGCUGCAGCGGACUGCCAGCGUCGGUGAGGCUCUGGUUCCCGUGGACCCCUGAAGUGUGCUGCUGGAGGAUGCUGUGGGAGUGUUCGAUUCUCCCGGAGUGAGACGUCUGAGGAGACACAGAGGAGCAGAUUUAUUCUCCUGAAAUAAACAUUUAACUCUCAGCGGAGUCA